ACCAGACUCCUACGGGAGGCAGCAGUGAGGAAUAUUGGUCAAUGGGCGGGAGCCUGAACCAGCCAAGUCGCGUGAGGGAAGACGGUCCUACGGAUUGUAAACCUCUUUUGCCGGGGAGCAACGGGGUCCUUGCGAGGGCCCGAUGAGAGUACCCGGAGAAAAAGCAUCGGCUAACUCCGUGCCAGCAGCCGCGGUAAUACGGAGGAUGCGAGCGUUAUCCGGAUUUAUUGGGUUUAAAGGGUGCGUAGGCGGGCUUUUAAGUCAGCGGUAAAAAUGCGGGGCUCAACCCCGUCCGGCCGUUGAAACUGGGGGCCUUGAGUGGGCGAGAAGACGGCGGAAUGCGUGGUGUAGCGGUGAAAUGCAUAGAUAUCACGCAGAACCCCGAUUGCGAAGGCAGCGUACCGGCUCCACACUGACGCUGAGGCACGAAAGCGUGGGUAUCGAACAGGAUUAGAUACCCGAGUAGCA
rnacentral:rRNA from 1 species